ensembl:lncRNA
UAGAAUUUCAAUGAUAAUCCAUAAUGCAUGACCAGCACUGUUGCUGUGGAAACAUAAAUUCAAGGUUACCAGCUUGUAGACACAUAACGGGCUGCUCCAAGGAGGCACUACUCAAAAUUCUGCUCAUGGAGGUGGAGCAUCAAUCAAACUGUCGCAGAUUGCAAAGUACUCAUAAUCAGAUGGAAUGCCUCAGAGAGAGAAAAAGAGCUCAUAUGUUUGGGAAUAUGUAGACAAAAAACAUCGCUCUACAUAAAUAGGAGGAAAAAAAGACUAAGCAAUGUUCUCCACAGACACUGUCCGUCCGCAUACACCUACUGCUUUGAUAUGGAACUGGUCAGUUUGAGGCAAUAUCACAGGUUUUUUCUUUUUCAGGCGACUUGCUCUCACUUAUUUUGCCGUUAUCUUGCUCAGGCAGGCUGGGAUGUGACCUGAGCCUUCUGCUGUGGGGGGAUGAUGGAAAUCAAUUCUCAACAGAGAUGCUCCAUAAGCUAGCUUGGACCCCCUGCAGAAAGAGAGAGAGAGAGAGAGCGAGAGAGAGAGAGAGAGAGAGCAGUCUGGACCAUGACUAGGCCAAGGAAGAGUCUUCUUGUGGGCCAGAGCGAAGAUCCAGGUGAUGACAGGCAUGAUAUCAGCUCAGAGGAAGUGCUGACGGAUCCUGAGCUGGUCAGACAUGAGGGCUUUCAGGAUGAGGGUGAAGACUCAGUGCAGCUGUGGACCUCUUCACCUCAGCCUGGCACUCGAGGUCUGCACCCCUGUAUGACAAACAAUGGAGGUAUUAGAAGGCCCUGUUGAGCUGCAGCCCUCUUCAAACAGGCAGCCAGCAUGCUACCAGAUCCUAGCCCUCAGCAGCUGUGCUAACCCCCAUUCACUUCCCUGACAGAAAUCCCCGCUCUCUAUCCCAAAGACUGCUUAAUGCAGGGCUCUCUCAAGUGAAAAGAGUGUUUCUUAUGUCUUUAUUAUCUCAGAAAAAGGACACACAGAUUCUUUUAGUGCUAGUACACUUUCAUUUGCCAAAGCCAAGCAGUCUCAUUUUUUUGAAAAGGGUAUCAAAGAGAGAAAAGGGGUUUUAUGACAAGCCAGUAGUAUAGUGAGCAGGUCUUGUAGCCCAAAACGUUUUAUGUUUCACUGCCUCUUUUCCUGGUAUCUGAUUCUGGACUGCCCAGCCUCCAUGGUAAUUAGACUGAAAAUCCUCCAGUACCAGGCCCCUGCUUAAAACUUUCUUUGAUGGGGAACUUGAUUUCCUCCACCUGCCAAAGAAACAGAGGAUAUAAAAUACAUAUAAGCAGCUGGAAGUGUUCAGAUACAUAGAGGACAGGUGUGUGUUACAGUUGAUUGGUACAAGUUAUAACAGAUAAGGACUGUAUUACAUUGAUCUUACUGAAUAUUAUUAUGCGGAAUCCCUGUCAUGCAUUGUAAAACCCCAAAAAAUAUACUUUCAGGUAUAUAAAAAAAAUAAAAUGCCAACAAAUAUAUUGCUAAAAUAGAUG